ensembl:lncRNA
CCGGGAGGAGAUUAGAAAUGAGUCGAUCAGAGGGACAGCUCAGGAUGAGCAGACCCUCAACGUUUGGACAUGUGCAGAGGAGGGACAGUGGGUACAAAGGAGGUUGAAGAUGGAACUGCCAGCAAAGGAGAAACGAGGAAGACCAUUCAGGGAUGUGAUGAAGGAGGACAUGAAGGUUGGUGUGACAGAGGAGGAUGCUGGGAUAGGAGGAGAAUGAGGCAGAGGAUUCGCUGUGGUGAUCACUAAAGGGAGCAGCCAGGAGACGAAAAGCAAGAAUGUAUGAACAUGACAAAUGUCGGAGCAGUUUAGACAAAAACAGGUUUCAUCGGAUUGAGCAUCGAUAGGUGUGACGUUGAGCUCGUUUGUAGUCCAGUUCCACAUCCAACCACACGUUCAGCGUCGACCUUCACUUCUGCUCUGCUGCUGCCAGGAUCCAGACUCCUUCAGGGGAUAUUCUGCUACAGCUCAUGGACCCGCUAUCAUCUUAUAAUGAAAAUCUUACGACCGGGCCUCAAUGCCAAAGGUUUCAGUAACCUUUCUACUAUUUCAAUCACUCUUUAAACCAAUUGUGGGCAUAAAGAUGGUCCAAAUCUGGCACUCCAGCAAAUAAAGUGCUUUAUAAAUAAAGUUGGCUCAGCUUGACUUGGCUAAAUUAGACCCAC